CACAAGGAUAAAAGAGGAUCAGGAUGGAUGUAGAGGUAAUAUAUAAUUUUUUAUUUUUGUGUUACCUCUACAUCCAUCCUGAUUCUCAGGUUGUAUUUCU